rnacentral:rRNA from 1 species
AUGAGCUUAAUUGCCUAUGAGAUAUUAUCAUCUAAUUUUGGUUUCAGUGCAGGAGAAAUGGAAGGAUGGCUGAACCAGAUGGGGAUGAUCCGGAUAGCGGUCCUUUCAAGCUUUGCUGCACAUCUUGUCCUCAUCCUCCUUGCCAGGAUUCGUCGGCAUACAGCCUCCGGUGGGCGGAUGCUCCUUCUGUGGCUGGCGUACCAGCUGGCCAACUGGGCCGCGGCGUAUGCCCUUGGUAACCUGUCCUUCGGCAGCAGGUUGCAGGAGCAGCCGCAGCUGGUCGCGUUCUGGGCGCCAUUCCUCUUGCAGCAUCUCGGCGGCCCGGACAACAUUAGCGCCUACUCCCUCGAGGACAAUGUGCUGUCAGGGCGGCAAGCACUCAAUGCCUUCGUGCAGGUCGGGGGAGCCAUUUAUGUCGUGUACAAGCACAUAUACCUCGGUGGUGGCGACAGAGCUUUGCUUCGGGCAUCCAUCAUCAUUCUCACCAUCGGUGUUGCCAAGUAUGUGGAGAGGGUAUUCGCACUACGGCGAGGCAACUUGGGCAACAUCCGGAGCUCAAACAAGAAGAAGAAACUAAGCAGAUUCACUGAUGUCUCGGGCUCCAGAAAGGGAACUGUGCUGGACAAUGAGCAAGCCCUGAUGGUUGCCCACAACAUGUUCCCAUUCUGCCAGCGUGCAAUGACUGAUUCUUCUGUCAACAUGGAUUCACCUGACCUUGAUGCAAGCAGAGAAAUGUUCUCUUUUGGGUGGGAGAGUAUGUGCAAGGUGGUGGAGAUGGAGCUUUCUCUCAUGUACGACAUCCUCUACACCAAGGCAGCCAUGGUCCACACCUGGGGCGGCUACUUGAUCCGUUUUCUUUCGCCAAUCGCCACCGUCACGGCAUUUGUUCUGUUUCUGUUCUACAGCAAAGACGGCCAGAGGAGAGAAGAUCUGGUCAUUACCUACACCUUGCUGGCAGCUACCUUCAUCCUGGACGUGAGAUGGCUGUUUGGGGCAGCUGGGUCUACCUGGAUGCACAUGUUCCUGCAGGCUCGGCCACGGUGCUGGCUUCACCACAAUGUUUUGUGCUCUGGGUCUGGGAUAUGGCGCCGCCUCCGCCGUGUCGUUGUGUCUCUGCACCGUGGCCGGCUAGCCGUUCUCAUGGCGCCGAGCAGCUAUAGAAUGUGGUCGGGCACCAUUGGGCAGUACAGCCUGCUGCACGAGUGCACCCGUACCCGUGACAUGUGCGGGAGAGCAGCCAAAAAAGUUGGAUUGGAAGAGGGUUGGAACGAGCACCGGCACUCUGAGUCUGAAGGUAUUAAGCUUUCAGAAGAUGUCAAGAGGUUGGUGUUCAAACGUGUACGGAAGAUACUCAAGUCAACAUACGAGGUUGACGAGGAUGACGAGGCUGCAUAUUCCAUGAAUGACGUCACAACAUUCUGGGGUCAGGCGGCAGCCAAGAGGCGUCGGAGGAAACUGCGGAGAUUCCGGCUAGCAUUUGGCCGUGAGUUUCAGGAGGACAUCCUGGUGUGGCACAUCGCCACGCAAGUUUUCCUCACGAGUGAUGAUGGCAAGUUGUAUGCAGAGACGAAGCAUGCCAAGGCGAUCAAGGCGCUGUCGGAGUACCUCAUGUUCCUUGUCGCCGUGCGCCGGCACAUGCUACCGGGCCUUGUUCUCCGCAGUCUGUACGAAGUAACCAAGGAGUCCUUGCAGGAUGUAUGGCGUGAUGAGGUUGGGACCAGUUCCAUUCAAGGUUCCGGUUCGACGGUGAGCGGCAGAGAAGAGAAGCUUGCCAGAAUCCUCCGUGACAAGAAGGACGCAGACAGCGAGUGGGGUCUGGAGCAUGAUAAAACUCGUCUGGUCUCUGACGGAGCUAAUAUUGCCAUGGUGCUGCUCAGCGCCGAUGAGUCAGAGAUGCCGGAACUGCUGGAGCUCGUCUUCAACGUGUGGGUGGACAAGCUGCUGUAUGCGGGCACCCGAUGCAGCCGGGAAUCCCAUGCCAGGCAGCUCAGCCGUGGCGGUGAGCUCACGACCAUUGUGUGGAUUCUGGCAGAACAUGCUGGCCCAUUUCAGAUCGGCCAACGCGGUCCAGAUAAUAAAAAACAGGAACCUUGUCCGCCACCGCCGCCGCCACCCAUGUAUACGCCGGAGAGACCGCCAUGGUGGAGCAUAAUGAUUCCGCCACCACCACCGCCACCGCCGAUGGUCGAACAACCCAAAAAGGAGGAACCUCGUCCACUGCCGGCGCCGAUGGAAAGCAAACAGAAACCGUAUCCGCCGCCGCGUCCGGCCCCAUUGCCGCUGCCGAUGCGGAUGGAACCAGAACCGGAAAUUUGUCCGCCAUGGCCGCAUCGUGAGAGGAGUAGAAGGUAUGCUACGCUAUAUCCGGUGGACUGA